AGCGAACGCUGGCGGUAGGCCUAACACAUGCAAGUCGAACGGCAGCACAGUAAGAGCUUGCUCUUACGGGUGGCGAGUGGCGGACGGGAGAGGAAUAUAUCGGAAUCUACUUUUUCGUGUGGGUUAACGUAGGGAAAACUACUCUCAUACCGCAUACGACCUACGGGUGAAAGCAGUGGAUCUUUGGAGCUUGUGCGAAUGAAUGAGCGGAUGUCGGGUUAGCUGGUUGGCGGGGUGAUGGCCAACCAAGUGGACGAUCCGUAGCCGGUCUGUGUGGAUGGUCACCCGCACUGGAGCUGAGACACGGUCCAGAGUACUGCGGGAGGCAGCAGUGGGGAAUGGUGGACAGUAGGCGCAAACCUGGUCCAACCAUCCCACGUGUGAUGAGGAGGCCUUCGGGUUGUGAUGCCCUUUUGUUGGGAAAGAAAAGCAGCAGGUUAAUACGCCGCUUUUCUGACGGUACCCAAUGAAUAAGCACCGGCUAACUUCGUG
rnacentral:rRNA from 1 species